rnacentral:misc_RNA from 1 species
UAUCGGGCAUCGGCCGCUGAGUGACGGGGCUUCUGUAGCUCGACCUUGUGGGUGGUUUCUCUAUCGUGCUCUGCCACCCCAGCUGUAUUACGGUUCUAGAGCUCACUGGCACGACACACACACACACACACACACAAUAUAGAAUAAUAAUAAAGAGAAAAAGGGCGCGGCUGCACUUGAACACCCCGCCAAGCGCAGAAUGCAGCACUCCUCUUACGGCGCUUCACUUCCCGAUGCGCUGGUGCGUGCCAUACGCGCAGCCAGCAAGCCCUUUUUCCAGAUUCAGGCCUCCCGGUACGCGCAAGAAGCCAACAGCAGGUCGGACUUGGGUUUCGUGUCGCUUGUGAUGAAGACGAAGGCACUCGUGCCGCAGGAAAAGUUUGAUAGCAGCCACCUGUUGCCCAGUGCCUGGUCUGAGCUGUACCGCACUGCUGUGAAGGAGUUGGCGGACGCCGACGCCAAGGAGCUCUGGGGCCUCGUCUCCGUAGUGCUAAGAGUGGUGGAGCAGGGCGCGGUUGACUGCGUAAACGCGAGUGCCGCCAUUGUCGAGUGGCACAGCUGGUUUGACGAUGAACUCGCAGACGCCGGAGCGGUGAUUCGGCAGCUGCAGUGCGAGGACCCGCACGCCGAUUCGGAUGUUGUUGUCGAGGAGCUCGGGUCGAACGUGUUAGGCCGCAUCGAAGGUGCAUUUCUCACUGGGCACUUCCACGCCGCCGCGUCGCUCAUGGACGCGCUGCUGCUGUACCUGCGCCGCGGUGGGUCAGCACUGCUGACCGCGGAGGUGGAAACAGCCUUGGCGAAUGUGAAGCGGCUGCUCACGGUUACGUUUCACGACCCGGUGAGCCACCGGCAAUGGGUAGAGACCGCGAACGACGAACUUCAGGACUCGCGCAUCACUCUUUUGACUGCGUCCCGAGGCAGCCAGAGCGGCAACGACAAUGGCAGCGGCAGCAGCGCCGGCGGGGCCACUGUGAUGGACAAGCUGGUCGAAGACCUCUGCGCCGCCUCCUUAGACAUUCUCCUGCUCAUCACGAAGGAUGCGAAGCGGAUGUGCGAUCGGUGCCUCGACUCGCACCGCACCGCCACAGAUUUUCUAGUAGCGGUAUGCGCUAUCAUGGAGCCCUACGCAGGCCUCCAGCGUGUAUACUCGCUCUUUGCCAAGUACGUGGAUGACUGGGACAACACCGAUGGUCGUCAGUGGUACUACGAGUGCGUCUUGGCAAUCCUCGGCGUGGGCUCGGUAGUGGACAUGGUGGCGGCGAUGCACGAGGUGGCGAUGAUUGUGGCAGAAACGUUUCCGCAGGCGGCGGCGGUCUCCUCCACUAUCAGCGAUGAAGAUGCAUACGACUGCGACAAAGACGACGCGGAUGAGGUUAGCGAUACUGUGAGCCUCGACGCCGUCACAGCCGCCGCAAAGCCACCGAGUGCAGCAACGACGCGGCGCUUCAUGUUGACCUGCAUGACGGCCCAUAUCGCCGACCUGUGUGCGCCGGCGGUCGUUUCCACCUCAGCAGCCGAUAUUCACUUGACGUUCUGCCGUAACGAACUUGUUACGGCCUACGCGCGGCUCUUUGCAAUGCAUCCCCGCACGUGGCGCAUUGCCGGCCUCUACGCCUGCUACUCGCCCCUCAAUGACCCGCUUUUCCUCAGCGAAAUCGUGCUUGCCGUGGCGCCGGCGGCCGCGGCAGACGAGACUGUGUACCGAAGUCUGCGUGCUUUCUUCCACACAACGUGGAGCACUAGCAGUGACCAUCAGCAGGCGGUGCGCGCAAAGCUGGAGGCCGCGCUGCCGGAGCACGCGGCUGUGGCGAAGUGGUGGUCCGCAAUGGAAUACUACUACUCCCAGUCCUACCGGGACGCACACCGGCAUAUUAUCAUGACGCAGCUAAACAGCGGCAACUGUGUGAGCGCGGUGUGGCUAGCCGUGCAAACACAGCUAACGGAGGUCAUCGAGUCUGAACUGCGCCGUCAGCUGAAGAGCAAAGAUGCCUUGGGGAACGCGCAGCUGUACACGGUAGGCUCCGCCGUCCAAAAUGGGUUCGUUGCCGUAGGUGCAUGCGCAAACAUGGAGCUGGGGCGCUACCUAUGCGCUGCCGCGGCGUUCUCGGCAUACCGGCAAGCCGCGACGGCAGCCGACGCGUCUCUCGCGAUGCUUGCUCAGGGCCAGCCAUCCUCGCUUCAGCCAUCGCGGUCGCCGUCUCGAAAAUUCGAAUUCGCCCUCGCGGCGGCGGCUACGUGCCUGCAGACGAUCGAAUCGGCUUUGAAGAGUGUCGUUGAGUGUCACGCGAUGGUGCACCCGUCCACGAUCUUCACCCUUGUCGAGCACGGUACCUCGCUGCUGCUCUCACUGCGCCAGCUCAUGCGUGUCCCAGGGACAGGGGAGUCUACCGGCUCCGCUCACGUCUCCAGCUGUGUGCUGCCGCUGCUGAUCGAGUCUUACGAGCUCGCAAGCAUCCACAACGUCCACCACGACCCGAACCUCGCAGAUCGCAGUCGCGCCUUGGCCGAGCAGCUGGCUCACGUGCACCAGACCUCCAUUUGAAGGGGCAACAGAGGAACGCUGCUUGAAUGCGGGGGGAGAGCGAAGAAGACGGCCACAUGCAUCCGCGCCCUACCCGCUGCGCACACCCGUGUGCCACGCAAGCACAGGAAAGGCGUAAGACGCACGGCAGGAGAAACCGAUGCGACCGUUGCGUGAUGGGGAGCCGUGUGCCUGUAUGUGGCACGGCUUCUUCAGUGUAGCUGGGUGUUCUCCUGAGGCAAGCAAAGUUGUAGCACGCUGGUUGUUGUUGAGUGUGAGUAUGUGUGCGCGUGUGUGUGCGACAACUCAAUUCCGUAAACCAGGGAAGCAGAAGGAAAGGGCGGAGGGAUUUGUGCAGAGGUGUAUGCAAGUUUAAAAGUCUUCAGAAAGCAAGCAGCGCAUCAUCACCAAUGGCUUAGAUUUAUUUCUCUCAUCUGCGCAGGUCUGAACGGGUGUGUGUGUGUGUGUUACAAGUAGUUCUCCCCUCGCUUCGCUGAGAUUUGGGUGGCGUAACGGGGAGGAGGUGGCAAGAUGGCCGAAGAAGCGGGUGGCGCAGCUGUUGGUGCUGAUCACGUCCCCUAUCUUUGCAUGUGCGAUCACGCCCAAAACAGACAGGCACAUACACACACAUGCCGACUUGUAUGGUCAAAAAUAAGCAGGCAAGGAGGAGGACAAUGCGUUCUUCGAUUCUGUUGUUUCUUUUUUUUUGCCUCUCUCUAUAUGCCAAGCUGGUAAUGUAGUGCACCAUCGCACGCCACGUCCAUUCUCUCGCCUGCUCGUUCUCUCUCCGCCCUCCGUAUUCACCACCGACAACCUCCCUCGUACACCAUCCCGACACGCUCAUGCGUGCUGCAAG